rnacentral:misc_RNA from 1 species
AAGUCGUAACAAGGUUUCCGUAGAGUAAACUCCAUAAUACCCCAAAUUCGGGGGUGUCGAGGAAACUCCCACCCCAAAAAAAACCGAACAACUGUUAACAAUGGAUAUCUUGGUUCUC